rnacentral:lncRNA from 1 species
GGCUCAGAGAGGUUAAGUAACUUGCCCAACGUCACACAGCUAGUAAGUACCAAACCCAGGAAUCUAAGACCGGAUGAGCUGAUUCCAGGCAGACGAUCUGGCACCAUCCUAACUUGCAGUAGGAUGGUUGCUUCUCAAAGCACUGCCUUCUCGGUUGGUCGGAAGCAGAAGGCUGGGUGACUGGAUGGACACUCCAGAUCUCGGGCCUGGGUUCAGCCGAGCAGGAGCAGGGCAUGGGAUCUGAUUCCUGGGAAGGCAUUCCGAGACUCUGCGGAAGCUGGAGAAGGCGGGUGCUCACACGGGGGUGGGGAGUUCCCUGAGGAGGAGCCCCAGGAGGAAGAAGGAGAGAUGAAGCCACCUCGGAGCUCCGGGAAGGGAGUUCCCAGCGUUCCCCCAGGCGAUUCUCGAGGCCUCCCACUCAAAGCCCCACAUCGUGGGAUUGACUCCCCAUCCCCCACCCCUUGCCCGGUGAGCCAGACUCGGCACAGCCCCCGCCACGCAUCUCCGCCCCGGGCCGAGCCACGAAUCUCUCGUGCGAGGUUGAGCCCCGCCGCCGGUCCCCGCGGGGGUGUGCUCGGCCUCUGCCGGGGGUCUCUUGCUGCGGCUGGACGUCCUCAGUACACCAUUUCUCAGGUUUAGCUCCCUCCAGUCCACGUUUAUUUCUAGGUCUUCCCCUCCAAGAUUAUGUGUCUGCCCGGUCACCAGGCCCCGGGUGGCAGGACUCCUGCAGGGGCGUUGGUGGGUGGCCGUGAGGGUGUAUGUUUGCCUCUGUAAACUGGGGCUGUGUAUUUACUGGGAUGUGUGUCGAUUGUGGGUGUUGGGCGUGCGCUGGUGUGUGUUUGGUUGGGUGUGUGUGUUGGUUUUGUGCGUGCAGUGUGUAGCAUGUAUCUGUUGGGUGUGGUUGGGUGCGGGGUUUGUCAUACGUGUAUCCGUGACGUGUGUUUUGCAUCGGAGGUGUUGUUUGGGUAUGUGUAUUUGUUGGCUGUGUAUGUGUGUGUAUGAUUGGUGGUGUGUGCUGGUUUUGGGUGUGUGUGUGGUGUGUGUUUGUUUCGGAUGUGUGUUAGGUGUGUGUUUGUUGGUGCAUUGUGUAUGCGUUGAUGAUGUGUGUUGGGCGUGUGUGCGCGCGUGUGUAUGCGCGUGUACGCGCUCUCUGUGGCCGAGGGAGCCUAGUCCAGCGUCGGGCACGGGCGCCUCAAGGAGCCGGGGCUGUGGGCGCGCGGGGCCGCGGGAGGGCGCUGCGGAGGAGGCAGGAGUGUGGGACCGGAGGAUCCGCGAGGCCUGGAGCCAGGGUGGCGUGCGCCGCGGGAGCUGGAGUUGUCGAGUGGAGCCGAAGGAAAUCCGAGAGUCUGGGCCUCGCAGGUCCCCCACCGUCGGGGCCCCGCCGACCUGCGCCCAGAGCUAG